AUGUCUGGUUGCGGCAAGGGCGUCUCCACCACCGCUGCCAUAGGCAACUACACCGUUUUCUUGAGCUGCCACAGGCUAGAGCAUCUGCCGGUGGAGAAGGAGGCGAGAGCCGAGAUGGACUGCCUACUCUGGGUCUAUGUCGUCGAGUUCUUCCAAUACAAGGACAUCAUGCAUGCCCAACGGCUCACAACACGAGAGGUGAUUGUGACCAGCCGACCAGGCCGAGAUCCGACAUCUACACCAACCUCCCCGCCCUCGAUUGAGAAGCUCGACGACCUCCUGGCGACUGCGUCUCACAGCUCACGCCAACAACCUGGAGAAAAGAAAGGAAAGAAGAGAUGCGUGCUAGGAUAA
rnacentral:rRNA from 1 species